UGGUACCAAGCUCAUCCUCCUCGUCCCUAGCUCUACACGACUGCCAUCCUGUAUAUUCCCUCCAGUUCAUGGAACAUAUGAACCUCUUACUGUAGUAGCUGGUUCUCAAGUAUUUUGAUUACAUCGAUGUCAAAGGUGACACGAACCAGAUCUUCAUCAACUAUAGCGCUAUUCAAAGCAUCGACACGAAGUCAGGUUGAAGGUGUUAAGGUGUUGGAGAUGUCCUUGUACUUGCUAAGCGUUUUAUCUGUAGUGGAAUAGUGUAUGGUUAUGUGGUGGCUAGAAUAUUGUAAUAAACUGUGUUUCUCCUUUGACUGGAAUAUUGUAAUAAGUUGUGUUUCUCCUU